rnacentral:rRNA from 1 species
UACGAAGGGAGCUAGCGUUGUUCGGAAUUACUGGGCGUAAAGGGCGCGUAGGCGGCUUGACAAGUUGGAUGUGAAAGCCCUGGGCUCAACCCGGGAAUUGCAUUCAAGACUGUCUUGCUCGAAUUCGGUAGAGGUUGGUGGAAUUCCCAGUGUAGAGGUGAAAUUCGUAGAGAUUGGGAGGAACACCCGUGGCGAAGGCGGCCAACUGGACCGACAUUGACGCUGAGGCGCGAAAGCGUGGGGAUCAAACAGG